rnacentral:rRNA from 1 species
GACGAACGCUGGCGGCGUGCCUAAUACAUGAAAGUCGAGCGGACCGAAGGGAGCUUGCUCCUUUAGGUUAGCGGCGGACGGGUGAGUAACACGUGGGCAACCUGCCCUGCAGACUGGGAUAACUUCGGGAAACCGGAGCUAAUACCGGAUAACACCGAAAACCGCAUGGUUUUCGGUUGAAAGGCGGCUUUUAGCUGUCACUGCAGGAUGGGCCCGCGGCGCAUUAGCUAGUUGGUGGGGUAGUGGCUUACCAAGGCUUUGACGGGUAGCCGGCCUGAGAGGGUGACCGGCCACAUUGGGACUGAGAUACGGCCCAG